GUUGCCUUGCGUGAGAGAAGAGUAAAGUUUUCACUCUAGACUCGGACAGCACCAUCGAAUAGUACACGAUAACAGUGUCACCUAUAAAUGUCAAGUGUGAUCGGGGCACCUGCAUUGCAAAGCAAGGUCAUUGUCGUUCUCGUUCUACGACAAUGUUUCACCGUUGAUUUCCAUCUGUUGCUUAUGUUAUAACAUCGCCAAUUGCCGAAUUGAUUUAUAUGUAAUUGAAUAACUAGCAUUCUUCAUUUAAAGUACGUUUUUGUAAACGGAUAACGAAAACAUUGUCAAUUGUUAUGGCUGAGUUGCAAUUUAAAAUACGCACGGAAAUUUGUUUAGUAUAAGUUGCAUGUCAUUUACUACUAAUGAACUUGUUUACCUGGCGAGAGACGGAGAGGAAAUCUUAUCUUUUAUCUUCAUGAUAAACGUCCAAAUACAUGCAAACACUCUGAUCUUUAACUUAAUACUGGCGUCUGAACAAAGGCACGGUGAACAUAGAUCACCCUUUCUCCUCUUUUGACAAUUUUCGACAACGGUGAAAAACUGUCCAAUAGAAAACGACGGUUAAAAAUGAUUUGCUUUAUCUCAUUCUUACUCUACCUUCCCUGGAUGUCAGAUUUUGCUAACCCUACCCAAGUGAUGACGUCAAUGUUUGCUUCCUUUCUUAUCCUUUUUGUGUGUGUGUGUGAAAAUCAUUAACUUUUCGAAACGUUUAUGUCACGCUCAGUAGCCUUUACUAAAACUGUUAACAAAACAUACUGUGAGGUGUUAUGCAAAAUCUAACGUUACGCAUUACGCUUAUCGUUUAUGUGGUUAAGCGAAGAAACAGCUAGACAACGAAAAUGUUGUAAAUAUGGGGCAUGGACAGAGAACCCGGGAGUCUAUGUGAACUUAAUCCUAAACAACUGAUUACAUUAUUCCUCUUAAACUGAUAAAAUCGAGGCUAAAUACGAAGAAUUAUUCGCCAUAAUAAACACUGAAAACUACGAACCCAAAGCCUCGGGUAAUUGAAUAUCAAAUAAACGCUUUUGCCUACGUC